GCUGCCUCAAACUCCUGGGCACAAGUGAUCCUCCUGCCUCAGCCUCCCAAGUAGCUGGGAUGCCUCAGCCUCCCAAGUAGCUGGGACUACACGUGCAUGACACCACAUCCAGCUAACUUUUUUUUUCUUAGAGAUGGGCGUUUCACUUUGUCGCCCAGGCUGGUUUCAAACUCCUGGGCUCAAGCAAUCCUCCUGCCUUGGCCUCCCAAAGUGCUGGGACUACAGGUGUGAGCCACUGUGUUGGGCUCCUCUCUUAUUAGUGCCCCACUGUGGAAUCUUCUGGACCCUGUUGGUGAAGUCGUAUCAGGGGCCCCGUAUACACAAGGGAAUUUUUCCUCUCACUGCAUGAUGAAAUCAUUGACUCUCUCAAGAAUCAAGUUCCAGGAAGUCCCUAACAAAAAAGAAGAAAGAAAGAAAGGGCCAAGUGCCAUGGCUCAUGCCUGUAAUCUCAGCACUUUGAGACCCCCUGUUGCUACAAAAAAAAAUGUUUUUAAUUAGCCAGAUGUGGUGGUGUGCACCUGUAGUUCCAGCUACUCCGGAGACUGAGGCAGGAGGAUUGCUUGAGGCCAGGAGUUCAAGGCUGAGGAUUGCCCAGGAGUUCAAGGCUGCCGUGAGCAGUGAUCACUCCGCUGCACUCCAGCCUGGGUGAGAGAGCUUGAGAGCCUGUCUCUCAAACCAAAAAAAAAAACAAAAAACCACACCUAGAGAGAGAUGGCUUUCCAUGUCAGAGACACUGGGAUGGAUACAGUAGAGACAAAACCUGAGUGGAUGGCGCUGUCUGUCCUCACAAAAGUGAUGACUUCUUGGAUGUCUCAGAUGCACAGUCUGGUGAGCAGAGAGCUGGGGUAGGCCAGGGAAAGGACCAAAUACCAGCCAAAGACGGGCGUCUACAUGUUGCAAAGGAUGGCAAACUUGGCCCUUGGCAUUGCAGGUUCCUCCCAGGGAAAACUCCAAGCCAUGAACUUCAGUGGGCAGCUGGCAGUCUCAGCUAUAUAAACACCAAGCCAAAAAGAGGACCCUGAUGGAAGAAGACUAGAAAGCAGGCCUAUAUGGCUUUUUUUCCAGGAGCUGGGCCCUUUCCAGCCUGGUGAAGCCCAGAUAUAUAAUACUACAUUGUCACAUUUUCAAACGUGAGGAAACUGUCCUGAAACAGUGAGCUAGAUAGCUUUGAUUAGCACCAAACACUAGAAUUAGCAUCAGGACUUUUAAAGAGUCAAAUAAAAUGAUGUAGCGUGAAGCAGGGAGCUUUUCCAUCACUGAAGUUAGGCACAAAAAGGGAAUCUGUCCUCAGAACAUGG
rnacentral:lncRNA from 1 species